CUACACUUCCACUGCUAACGUCGACACCCGAGAGACAUGAUGGUCCUGAAGAUGUAACUGUAAUAAGAGGACGAUCACAUCACAUUCCACAAAGGACUAGACCAGAGAGUCGCAAACGCAAAGCUGCAAAUUUGGCAUCAAGGGAGUUUUUGCAGUGUAUGCGGGACAUAACACAGCAACAGAUGGAAGAAGAGCGGGAGCUGAGAAGAGAAGAAAUUUAAAAAAGAAAUGAUGAUGAGACCAGAGGAAUUGGACUAUGAUGCACAAUUCAGACGGGAGGAGAUGUCACAAAGACAGAAAGAAUCAGAGUCUUUUGCGUCAGUCUUCAGUAAAUUGACCGCAGCCCUUCUCCAGAGUAA